CAACCUGCCAGAGUCGGAUUGGGGAUGGCGGAUAACGCACCCGCCGGGGCUGGUCUCAGGUACCUCUCCUCCCCCCCUCCCUCUUGUGGGGCCCGUCCGCUCGGGCACCAGCUGGCGUGACGGUGUGGCGUCCGUGCGAAGACGGGACUUGUCCCCGGGAUGUGGGAGCUGGCCGGGAUAGAGAGGUCGCAGGCCCCAGCCUGGGACCCUGGCACCCUCUCUCUCUCCUCUCUGUCCGUCCGCCCGCGGCCACGCGCGCCCUCAUUUCCUCCUUCCCCUGUCAACCGCGACCUCAGAUCAGACGUGGCGACCCGCUGAAUUUAAGCAUAUUUCUCAGCAGAGGAAAAGAAACUAACCAGGAUUCCCUCAGUAAUGGCGAGUGAACAGGGAAGAGCCCAGUGCCGAAUCCCCGCCGCGUGCCGUGGCGCGUGAAAUGUGGCGUAUGGAAGACCCACUCCCCGGAAACGCUCGUGGGGGCCCAAGUCCUUCUGAUCAAGGCCGAGCCCUUGGACGGUGUGAGGCCAGUAGCGGGCCCAGGCGUGCCGGGCCCAGAUCUUCCUGGAGUCGGGUUGCUUGGGAAUGCAGCCCAAUGUGGGUGGUAAACUCCAUUUAAGGCCAAAUACCGGCACGAGACCGAAAGCCAACAAGUACAGUAAGGAAAAGUUGAAAAGAACUUUGAAGAGAGUUCAAGAGGGCGUGAAACCGUUAAGAUGUAAACGGGUGUGGUCAGCGCAGUCCGCCCAGAGGAUUCAACCCAGAGAGGGGCGUUCAACUGUGCAGGAUCUGGCAAUGGAAGUGAACAAGGAUGGAAAGACUCAGAAAUCUGACGAUUGCUUUGGCUUUGACACCAGACAUGGAGAUGCAGAUUUUGGAGUUUGCUCAGGUUGAUUUUCAUCUUGUUUCAUCCAGUGUUUUCUUACCAUGACAUUUUGGAAUGAUAAUGUAUAUCCUGCAUGAUAUUGGGGGUAAGUGGUCUUCUUUUUGUUUUUGAUUUUUAAAGGAUUACAGUUUAGAGAUUACCUAAUCUCAGAAGAAACAUUGAACUUUGAACUCCUAACAUUGGAGAAACUCUUAUAGACUAUGGGAACUGUAAAGUUGGAAUAAUGUAUUUUGCAUUGUGCUGUGCCUAUGUAUGACCUCUCUAGAGUCAUGUAUUUGAACUGUC
ensembl:lncRNA